rnacentral:lncRNA from 1 species
UGCUUGUGUGGAUGGUUUGGUGGUGUGUGGUGGGUGGGUAGGGGGUGAAUGGAGAAGAAGAUGGAUAGUGUUUUUGUGUUUUGAUUUAAUUAUUAAUAUAUUGUAAUUAUUUUUAUUUUUUUGUUGAAAAAUGUAAAGUUAACAUUUUAUCCUUUUAAAAUUAGUCAAAAUAAUGAUCAAUGUUAAAUUCUUGGUCAACUAACGGUCAAAUUAACAGUUUCCGUCCAUUUGGACUUCCACUGCGAGUUUUUGAAAGGUUUGGUAUCGUGGGUGGCACAAACUAAAGGUUUAGGCAAAGUCUGCUAAUAAAUGAAAGGUUUGGUACCUCAGCUGCAAUUUUCCCAAUUAUUUAUGAAGUUGAAUUUGAUUCAGAUUGUAUUAAUCGUUCAUUGAGCCAAUAGUAUUAGGUUUUUAAAGUUGUUUUGAUAUUUCUGUGUUAGUGGAGGUUAUUGUUUUUCUCUCGGACUCUGCUAAAGAACAUUCUUUCGAUGAUACCUUAAUUUUCUUGAAAUUGUUUUGUGGUCUAAUUAUGCUACAUGCACAGAAAAAAUUAACAGAAUUUUUACAGAACACUUAGCAAUUUUUCAUUGGUUUUUGACCCAAUAAUGGCAAAAAAUGCACCAUACAGGUACUGCCAACACAACACCUGUAUUGUUUUUGUGAAUAAUUCCCCGGCAGCAUCUGUAUCGUUUCUGUGAAUAAUUCGAUUUUUAUUUUUAUUUUUUGUCGUCAUAUUGAAAGUUUGGUAGGAAUAUGAUUCUUUCAUUUCUUUGUCUCCCUUUUCUCUUUUUGGCUGUUCAUGAAAAUUUUGAGUGAUUAUAAAAUCUUGGGUAUACCUAAUUUUGUACUUUAGCUCAAUGCCGUGUGAUUUUGUUUUGAUUGAGAACUGUUCUUGUUGGCCUCACAAAUUGGACUCUCCACGUGACCAACCGAUAGUUAUUCCACGUAUUUCUUCCUGUGCACAGUCAACGCACGGUCAGAUGCAUAUGGCCGGAACCAGCGGGGGUGAUGGCGGCCGCAUACACUCCCACGGUCAAGUUAGCCUCAGGUGAUCUGAACAAUAUCAACGUUGUGCAAAAUAGUGGGGAGAAGAAUAUAUAUUUGUUUGUUAUGGAAAGCUAUGUUGUAAGAGUUUUAUUACCUUUGUCUCUUAUCAAAUUUUGGGUAUUUAUAGAUGAGGAGAACCGUUGGAUGUGGGACACGUGCAUGCAUCUGGCGGUGUGAGGCGUCUGUUCAUAGGCGUCAAUCAGUCGCGUCUAUAGAGUGGGCAGGUAAUUAUUUCUUCGAGUUGAGUUGACAAAAAGUUGAUACGUUACAUCAACUAGGCUCAUGGAGACGUCAAAUCAAUUAAACCUUAGGGGCAGAAAUGAUCUUGACAUAGAUCUCUUUCUGAAAUUGGCGGCGGAUCCUGGCAGAGUCCUCGGAGUGCGCCUCGACUUCAGGGGCGAGGACGCUUCGAUCGAUUCAGCAGAAUUGUUUAUGCCUCACAGUGCGUUAGCAGAUCGACAAUAUUUGUGCUGAAGUCACUUCGGAACCACUUCGAAUGGAUGCUCCACACCUCGUACUAGGCAGAGGUAGACUCUUCGAAGUGGUUCGAAUAGGGGCGUAACAGUUCUGAUAACAACAUUUUUUUUAAUACCAAUGGAUGUAACAUUCUUAUUUAUGUGAUUUAGUUAUUUUUCCUCCAAUAUAAUUUUGAUUUUGGUUCUAUUUUAUUUGUCAUUUUCACAUAAUCCUUUUUGUUUCAUUUUGACCUUGUAUGGUUUUGAUUUUUUGGUUGUAAAAAGAACUUUUCUCUGGUACUAUGGUGAGAAAUCUGGAUUUGAUACCUAGAAGUGUCUCUUUCAGAGAAUGUCGAGUCAAACAAGUAGGGCUAAGGGAAAGAGGGGUAGGGACACAGCAUUGGAGGCUAGAGGUUGAGAAAGAAUAUCAACAAAAAAGAGACUAUUCCA